rnacentral:snRNA from 1 species
CUAUGUGAGGCAGGUUUAACUGCAACAUCCGUUAACAUUGAUAAUGAUGGAUGAUCCAGAUGAUCAGCUGGCUAGGUGGCUGUCCCCUUUCCUCCCUUAUCACUCCUUGUACAUUCCUCCCAAAGCUACAUGCUUGGUGGAAGAGGUCAGCCAUCCCAGAUACAAGGAGCAUAAUAAUCUUUGGUCAAGGGUAUAUGAUAGCUGUACUAGAACUACAACACAAGCUCAAAAGCAGACAAGAGAGCAGUUUAGGAAAAAUCUAUCCAAAUCCUGUCAAAGAUGCGUCAAAUGGCAUCAAAUCUGGAGG